AUUGCUGGUUCGAGUCUAUAAAAGGGAGACGUCCCAGAUUGGAAGACGCACAGAAAAAGCACUCACCUUAGUUCUUCUCUGUUUCACCGUCGGAGCCUCGCCAUCCCUUUCCUGUUGUGCUGCAGGACGGGGAGAGCAGUAAUCUCCGUUCCUCCUCCGGCUUGCUGACCUGCACGGGUGCCGGAGCAAUCAAUGUUCUGGGAAGUGUCUCUGCACGCUGCUCGCUGAUCUGCAUCACCACUUCCGCCUCUCUAGCUUCGUCAGGCUUCCACUUCAACACCUGCGUUUCUGUUAAGUAUGGAUCAGUCGAUUUCGCCCGGUGGCCGUGGCCAAUCGGUCUCGCCAGGAGGGAGCCAAAUCCGACAAUAACACAGCCGACUGUGCCGUUGCAGACAUAAGCAAGGCAGAGGUUUGACAGAUUCAUGUGCGUGGAGGUCGCUGACACCAAACAUCAUGGCGGUAUAGAGGGAUGGCCGGGGUUGACGGAGGCACGACAAAGGUGGAAGCUCGAGCAAGACGGGAUGAUGAGGUGGCACACUACAAUGCUCACCGGUCACAUGUGACGGUGGAGAUGGUGUGGGAUGGGCUGAGGGGCGGGGUUGACUGGUAUUGUUAGGUAAGAAGAACCAACAACGACUUGGGGAGGAAGAAGAUAAACCAUGGCUAGGGGAGAAAAUGCAGCAAUUGAAUUGAUACCCAAUGAUUUAAAGAGAAUCUCAUGGAAAUGUGACUCUUUUUCAAUCGCCUCAUCUUUAGCAGUCCCUUACUUCACAAUUUUUUAUAGGUCCGACGAGUGUGAUUUCGUAUAGAAGCCAAAGAGAAACCAAUCACUGUAAGCAUGGCAACGAAAGCAAAACCUCCCUCCAAUCUAGUUUUCCUCGCUCAUAUGUGUUUGAGCACUUAACUUUCAGUUAGCAACAUACUUUUAUGUAAAUCCUAUGUGUUUCAUGCUAUUUGGUUUAACUUCAGUGAUGGUUGGAUCGAAAGUAAUUUUGCUGGAUGGAAAAAAGAGAAGACGGGGCAGAUCUUGGAAAGCCCCUCCUCCCCCUCCCGUGAGCAACCCGGAGGGGAAACCCUAGCUGCCGCAAGCACUCCCCUCUCCCCUCCCUCCCAUCCCUCGCCGCCGCCGGCUCGCGCGGACGGGCGAAGCCCAGUCGGCGUCGGCGGUGGCGGGGCCGUUCUUCCCCUGCCCGAUGGCGGCCAACGCAGGCUGGUGAGGUCGGGCGGCGGCGCUAUGCUGGCGGAGGGCGCAACGACGCUGCGGUAGGCUGUGGCGACAGGGUCGGUGUUUGGCGGCGGUGUGAAGGGCUCCCUGGUGGUGGUGCUCUGCUCCUGGUGCGCAUGGAGGCGUGGCGGAGGCCACGGUCGGGGUGGCGCCCCCUAUCCAGCGGCGGAUGGUGGGCGCGGCGCGGAGGGGCGCCGCCUUGGCCGCGCGGGUGGCAUGCCGGUGGCGAGCGGGGCGCGUGCUCUCUGGGCCUCCUCGUCGGUCCGUGGAGCGGAUCUCUGCUGGUGGCCUUCUUCCUCAAUUUCCUCUCCUGCCUCGACUGUCGUUGCUGGUUCUUCCAUCCAGUGGCUGGUUGGGGAUGGGGUCAAAGAGCUUUGGAUUGGGGGAAUCCCUUGGCUGGCUGCUGCCACCAUGAUGCCGGCGGCGCCGAGGGCGUCGUUCCCCUUCCUGUAGGCGACAUCGAGAUCCUACCCUGCCCUCCACCUCCAAGUCCCGGGUAAAAACCCAAAAUCUCUGGAUUGGGUGGCGAUGGCGCUCCGGCGGCCUUUUUCUUCUUUAAGGUGCCACCUUGGGACUGUGGAGUGUUGGUUGGGGCUUCGAAGUUGGUGGGGGCCUACCGGACUCUACAGAGAUGCUCUGCUCGGCUGCUUGCGGUUGACGUCGGUCCUUGCCGGAGGUGUGGUGAUGUACAGGGUGCUGCUUUGCAAGAGGAGGUUGUCGUGCUGCCGUCCUCUCCCUUAUUACCUGUUGGUCCAGGUCGUACGAGCUCGGGGGUGAGUGGCUCUGCCUGCCGAUGGUGCGGCGUCCUCCGAUCCAGGACGAGAGGGCAGGGGGCCUUCUUUGGAGGCAGACACGGAUGACGGAACAACGACGGUGGCCUUAUGGGAGUUGAUGGAGCGUGAUUUUCCUCUAACGGCGGGUUGCUACCUUGUCUUGGUCAUAUCGAUUGCAGGACCGUGUUAGCCGAGGGUCUUGAUGUUCCAGCUCUUGGUGCAUUCAAACAUUGUUAGCGGCUCCUCCGAUGUCUUGUAUCUUUGCCGUUUUCUUUUCUUUUCUUUCCUGUUGUAAUGAUCGUUGUAUGGUGGGUGCUGGCUCUCUUUGGCCAAUGCUUUAUAAUCUAAUAAAACGGGGGGAAACCCUUUUUCGUCAAAA